rnacentral:lncRNA from 1 species
AAAUACUGACUACUUCGAGAAUACGUGAGUACUACUGAGUCUAAUAGCGCACAGCUUUUUAAUCAAAGAAAGAAAAAUAAGAAACUAUCUUUCCAUGUCUUUCUCUUUCUCUUUUCAGAAUCUCGUAAAACCCUGAACAGAGAGAGAGUCAGCUAAGUACGGCAAGGCAAGAGUAGCUUCUGUUUCUAGUUCUAGGGGUCCUCCAGAUAUCAGUGGCUAAAUUUGCCAGUUGGUGGGCUAGCUAGCUGCUGCUGCGACUGUACGUUGAUUAAAAAAUCAGGUAGGCGUACUAUAUAAAUUUAUAAGAGAUUCGUGUUCUGGCGCUGUAAUGGCAUAAGUGGUUUUGCAGAGUGGUGGUUUUAGCUUGACUCCUUUGGUUCAAGUGCAAUGGCUUUUUUCUGUUCUCUCUCUCAGUCUCUACAAGUUUCAAGCUUUCCUAGUAGAAUGAGCCUUUGGACUCUGUACUCAACAACUUCAUACCAUAAAAGGUUGAACCAAUGACUUUGCACUUCGCCGCUCAAUUAUUACCCUUCCAUUCCAUAAUUUUGACCCCAAAUAGUUUUCUGCAAUAACACUACUGUACCAUUUCCUAAAGGAAGAUCAUUGCUCUUUUCCCUCUUUUUCUUUUUCUCUUCAAACAAGUAAUAAGCUGUUUUGUUUCUUAGUAUUUUUAGCUUAUUAUUAGCAUAAAAUUAUUUUUUAUUUCUCAAAUAGUUCUUUUUG